GACAGAUGAUUGGGGUGAAGUCGUAACAAGGUAGCCGUAGGAGAACCUGCGGCUGGAUCACCUCCUUU
rnacentral:rRNA from 1 species